CCUACGGGUGGCUGCAGUGGGGAAUAUUGCACAAUGGGGGAAACCCUGAUGCAGCGACGCCGCGUGAGCGAAGAAGUAUUUCGGUAUGUAAAGCUCUAUCAGCAGGGAAGAAAAUGACGGUACCUGACUAAGAAGCCCCGGCUAACUACGUGCCAGCAGCCGCGGUAAUACGUAGGGGGCAAGCGUUAUCCGGAUUUACUGGGUGUAAAGGGAGCGUAGACGGCGUAUCAAGUCUGAUGUGAAAGGCAGGGGCUCAACCCCUGGACUGCAUUGGAAACUGGUAUGCUUGAGUGCCGGAGGGGUAAGCGGAAUUCCUAGUGUAGCGGUGAAAUGCGUAGAUAUUAGGAGGAACACCAGUGGCGAAGGCGGCUUACUGGACGGUAACUGACGUUGAGGCUCGAAAGCGUGGGGAGCAAACAGGAUUAGAUACCCCAGUAGUC
rnacentral:rRNA from 1 species